rnacentral:rRNA from 1 species
UACGAAGGGGGCUAGCGUUGCUCGGAAUCACUGGGCGUAAAGCGCACGUAGGCGGAUCUUUAAGUCAGGGGUGAAAUCCUGGAGCUCAACUCCAGAACUGCCUUUGAUACUGAAGAUCUUGAGUUCGGGAGAGGUGAGUGGAACUGCGAGUGUAGAGGUGAAAUUCGUAGAUAUUCGCAAGAACACCAGUGGCGAAGGCGGCUCACUGGCCCGAUACUGACGCUGAGGCCCGAAAGCGUGGGGAGCAAACAGG